UGGGGAAUAUUGCACAAUGGGGGAAACCCUGAUGCAGCGACGCCGCGUGGAGGAAGAAGGUCUUCGGAUUGUAAACUCCUGUUGUUGAGGAAGAUAAUGACGGUACUCAACAAGGAAGUGACGGCUAACUACGUGCCAGCAGCCGCGGUAAAACGUAGGUCACAAGCGUUGUCCGGAAUUACUGGGUGUAAAGGGAGCGCAGGCGGGAAGGCAAGUUGGAAGUGAAAUCCAUGGGCUCAACCCAUGAACUGCUUUCAAAACUGUUUUUCUUGAGUAGUGCAGAGGUAGGCGGAAUUCCCGGUGUAGCGGUGGAAUGCGUAGAUAUCGGGAGGAACGCCAGUGGCGAAGGCGGCCUACUGGGCACCAACUGACGCUGAGGCUCGAAAGUGUGGGUAGCAAACAGGAUUAGAUACCCUGGUAGUCCACACUGUAAACGAUGAUUACUAGGUGUUGGAGGAUUGACCCCUUCAGUGCCGCAGUUAACACAAUAAGUAAUCCACCUGGGGAGUACGACCGCAAGGUUGAAACUCAAAGGAAUUGACGGGGGCCCGCACAAGCAGUGGAGUAUGUGGUUUAAUUCGACGCAACGCGAAGAACCUUACCAAGUCUUGACAUCCCUUGACGAUGCUGGAAACAGUAUUUCUCUUCGGAGCAAGGAGACAGGUGGUGCAUGGUUGUCGUCAGCUCGUGUCGUGAGAUGUUGGGUUAAGUCCCGCAACGAGCGCAACCCUUAUGGUCAGUUACUACGCAAGAGGACUCUGGCCAGACUGCCGUUGACAAAACGGAGGAAGGUGGGGAUGACGUCAAAUCAUCAUGCCCUUUAUGACUUGGGCUACACACGUACUACAAUGGCGUUAAACAAAGAGAAGCAAGACCGCGAGGUGGAGCAAAACUCAGAAACAACGUCCCAGUUCGGACUGCAGGCUGCAACUCGCCUGCACGAAGUCGGAAUUGCUAGUAAUCGCAGAUCAGCAUGCUGCGGUGAAUACGUUCCC
rnacentral:rRNA from 1 species